rnacentral:rRNA from 1 species
ACCAGACUCCUACGGGAGGCAGCAGUAAGGGAUAUUGGUCAAUGGGGGAAACCCUGAACCAGCAACGCCGCGUGAGGGAAGACGGUUUUCGGAUUGUAAACCUCUGUCCUCUGUGAAGAUGAUGACGGUAGCAGAGGAGGAAGCUCCGGCUAACUACGUGCCGGCAGCCGCGGUAAUACAUAGGGGGCAAGCGUUAUCCGGAUUUACUGGGUGUAAAGGGAGCGUAGACGGCAGCACAAGUCUGAAGUGAAAUGCCGGGGCUUAACCCCGAAACUGCUUUGGAAACUGUGCAGCUAGAGUGCAGGAGAGGUAAGUGGAAUUCCUAGUGUAGCGGUGAAAUGCGUAGAUAUUAGGAGGAACACCAGUGGCGAAGGCGGCUUACUGGACUGUAACUGGCGUUGAGGCUCGAAGGCGUGGGGAGCAAACAGGAUUAGAUACCCGAGUAA